rnacentral:rRNA from 1 species
AAGGAAUAUUGGCCAUGNUCGAGAGCUUGANCCCAGCAUGCCGCGUGCAGGAAGAAGGCCUUCUGGGUUGUAAACUGCUUUUUAUCUAGGAAGAAAACGCUCCUGCGGGGGUAACUGACGGUACUAGAUGAAUAAGCACCGGGCUAACUCCGUGCCAGCAGCCGCGGUAAUACGGAGGGUGCAAGCGUUGUCCGGAUUUAUUGGGUUUAAAGGGUGCGUAGGCGGCCCUGUAAGUCAGCGGUGAAAUCCCAGGGCUCAACCCUGGAACUGCCGUUGAUACUGCAGGGCUUGAGUUCGGUUAAGGCGGGCGGAACUGGUGGUGUAGCGGUGAAAUGCAUAGAUACCACCAAGAACCCCGAUUGCGUAGGCAGCUCGCUGAGCCGAAACUGACGCUGAGGCACGAAAGCGUGGGGAGCAAACAGGAUUAGAUACCCUGGUAGUCCACGCUGUAAACGAUGAUUACUCGAUGUUGGCGAUACACAGUCAGCGUCUUAGCGAAAGCGUUAAGUAAUCCACCUGGGGAGUACGCCCGCAAGGGUG